rfam:Gracilibacillus boraciitolerans JCM 21714 DNA, contig:contig_15.
AUAAAUAUUUACAUUAUACCGUAGACAGUAGGUGCUAUGCUAGCUUAAUUUCCUACCGAGGUGUGUCUGGAUAAAUAAUAAAUUUUCUCUUUUUAGAGAAUUAUUGUGACAGUCAUAAACCUUCGCGUCUACUUGAUGUGGAGGUUUUCGUUUGAUUAA